UACGAAGGGGGCUAGCGUUGUUCGGAAUUACUGGGCGUAAAGCGCGCGCAGGCGGUCCUUUAAGUCAGGGGUGAAAGCCCAGAGCUCAACUCUGGAACUGCCUUUGAAACUGGAGGACUUGGGUACGGGAGAGGUGAGUGGAAUUCCGAGUGUAGAGGUGAAAUUCGUAGAUAUUCGCAAGAACACCAGUGGCGAAGGCGGCUCACUGGCCCGAUACUGACGCUGAGGCACGAAAGCGUGGGGAGCAAACAGG
rnacentral:rRNA from 1 species